ensembl:snRNA U2 U2 spliceosomal RNA
UUUGCUUCUCAGGCUUUUGCUAAGAUCCAGUGUAGUAUCUGUUCUUGUCAGUUGAAAUCUGUAGGUUGAAUGACAAUUAAUACAAGGUAAUAUACAUCCUUUAAACGUGUUAGCUAAUUAUGGAAGAGGUUUCCUUCCCCAAUCCUUU